rnacentral:rRNA from 1 species
GACGAACGCUGGCGGCGUGCUUAACACAUGCAAGUCGAACGAUGAAGAAGAGAAACGCGAACUUCGGUUCAAAUUUCACUUCGGAUUAGUGGCAGACGGGUGAGUAACGCGUGAGCAACCUACCUCUUACAAAGGGAUAGCCUCGGGAAACCGUGAUUAAUACCAUAUGACACAUUCAUAAGGCAUCUUAAGAAUGUUAAAGCUACGGCGGUAAGAGAUGGGCUCGCGUCCCAUUAGCUAGUUGGUGAGGUAACGGCCCACCAAGGCGACGAUGGGUAACCGGCCUGAGAGGGUGAACGGUCACAUUGGAACUGAGACACGGUCCAAACUCCUACGGGAGGCAGCAGUGGGGAAUAUUGCACAAUGGAGGGAACUCUGAUGCAGCGACGCCGCGUGAGCGAUGAAGGAAUUCGCUUCGUAAAGCUCUGUUCUAUGGGAAGAAAAGGACUGUACCAUAGGAGAAAGCCCCGGCUAAAUACGUG